GGUAUGCUUACACAUGCAAGUCGAACGGAGUGCUUCGGCAAAUCUGCCUUCAGGUCUGGGACAACAGGGGGAAACCCUUGCUAAUACCGGAUGUGCCUUAGGGUGAAAGAUUAAUUGCCUGAAGAUGAGCUCGCGUCUGAUUAGCUAGUUGGUGGGGUAAGAGCCCACCAAGGCGACGAUCAGUAGCUGGUCUGAGAGGAUGGCCAGUCACACUGGGACUGAGACACGGCCCAGACUCNUACGGGAGGCAGCAGUGGGGAAUUUUCCGCAAUGGGCGAAAGCCUGACGGAGCAAUACCGCGUGAGGGAGGGAGGCUCUUGGGUCGUAAACCUCUUUUCUCAGGGAAGAACACAAUGACGGUACCUGAGGAAUCAGCAUCGGCUAACUCCGUGCCAGCAGCCGCGGUAAUACGGAGGAUGCAAGCGUUAUCCGGAAUCAUUGGGCGUAAAGCGUCCGCAGGUGGCUUUUCAAGUCUGCUGUCAAAGCCCGGGGCUCAACCCUGGAGAGGCAGUGGAAACUGAGGAGCUGGAGUGCGGUAGGGGCAGAGGGAAUUCCCGGUGUAGCGGUGAAAUGCGUAGAUAUCGGGAAGGACACCAGUGGCGAAGGCGCUCUGCUGGACCGUAACUGACACUCAUGGACGAAAGCUAGGGGAGCGAAUGGGAUUAGAUACCCCAGUAGUCCUAGCCGUAAACGAUGGACACUAG
rnacentral:rRNA from 1 species